rnacentral:rRNA from 1 species
AUUGAACGCUGGCGGCAGGCCUAACACAUGCAAGUCGAGCGGAUGAAGGGAGCUUGCUCCUGGAUUCAGCGGCGGACGGGUGAGUAAUGCCUAGGAAUCUGCCUGGUAGUGGGGGAUAACGUCCGGAAACGGGCGCUAAUACCGCAUACGUCCUGAGGGAGAAAGUGGGGGAUCUUCGGACCUCACGCUAUCAGAUGAGCCUAGGUCGGAUUAGCUAGUUGGUGGGGUAAAGGCCUACCAAGGCGACGAUCCGUAACUGGUCUGAGAGGAUGAUCAGUCACACUGGAACUGAGACACGGUCCAGGCUCCUACGGGAGGCAGCAGUGGGGAAUAUUGGACAAUGGGCGAAAGCCUGAUCCAGCCAUGCCGCGGGUGUGAAGAAGGUCUUCGGAUUGUAAAGCACUUUAAGUUGGGAGGAAGGGCAGUAAGUUAAUACCUUGCUGUUUGGACGUGACCAACAGAAUAAGCACCGGCGAACUUCGG